rnacentral:rRNA from 1 species
ACUCCUACGGGAGGCAGCAGUGGGGAAUAUUGCACAAUGGGCGCAAGCCUGAUGCAGCCAUGCCGCGUGUAUGAAGAAGGCCUUCGGGUUGUAAAGUACUUUCAGCAGUGAGGAAGGUGGGUAUGUUAAUAGCAUACUCAUUUGACGUUAGCUGCAGAAGAAGCACCGGCUAACUCCGUGCCAGCAGCCGCGGUAAUACGGAGGGUGCGAGCGUUAAUCGGAAUUACUGGGCGUAAAGCGCAUGCAGGUGGUUUGUUAAGUCAGAUGUGAAAGCCCGGGGCUCAACCUCGGAAUUGCAUUUGAAACUGGCAAACUAGAGUACUGUAGAGGGGGGUAGAAUUUCAGGUGUAGCGGUGAAAUGCGUAGAGAUCUGAAGGAUACCGGUGGCGAAGGCGGCCCCCUGGACAGAUACUGACACUCAGAUGCGAAAGCGUGGGGAGCAAACGAGGAUUAGAUACCCUGGUAGCGUAG